CGGGACGGGUGAGUAAUGUCUGGGAAACUGCCCGAUGGAGGGGGAUAACUACUGGAGACGGUAGCUAAUACCGCAUAACGUCGCAAGACCAAAGAGGGGGACCUUAGGGCCUCUUGCCAUCGGAUGUGCCCAGAUGGGAUUAGCUAGUAGGUGGGGUAACGGCUCACCUAGGCGACGAUCCCUAGCUGGUCUGAGAGGAUGACCAGCCACACUGGAACUGAGACACGGUCCAG
rnacentral:rRNA from 1 species